CUUCCAUGGCUCUCCAACACCGGCCCCGAAGAUCAGACCGUCUAGCAUGUCUAUCAGCGGCAGCAGCCAGAGUUCAAUUGAGAUGAACGCAAUGCCAUUUCAGUGAGAAUUAAAACGUGUUCCAUGUCAGACGCCACAAAAAAAUUGUUGAAAAAAAUUCAUAAAAUUAUUUAACAAAAUAUCUUAAAAAUACGAAUAUUUCGUGGGUCCAUCAACGGGUUUUUACAAAGCAAUCUCGCUCUCCCCCUCUCCCGCUUGCAGCAAUUAACAACAAAGUGAAGAAAAAUCACACAACAACAGAUGAAGUAAAUGUAAAUCACGCAGUUUAUAAAUAAAUUGAAAAACAAAAAGAAAUCAAGGAAAACAAAACAUUAAAAUAAUUACUUGUGUUCUCAUGUACUUUGCAGUUGAUGCCGAGUUUAUUUGUUUAACAAAUUGGUGAAAUAAUGCAGAAGCUCUAACGUCUUGAAUGAAUGACCAUAUCUGAUUAAAUAGCAAAGUUGUUGAAACUCUGUUAUCUUUAAAAAUUUGCACUAUUGUUUACAAACAAACAACGAGAGAUAACAAUAAAAAAUAUGAACAUGGAAUAGAACAUUUCUGCGUUAAAAUAAAAAAAAAAAAAAACAAAAACAAA